rfam:Pseudomonas taeanensis MS-3 contig_10, whole genome shotgun sequence.
GACCUUGCGUCAACAGCCUGAGCGACUCGCAUAAGGCUGAUGGCUGGUGGCUUAUGCCACCGGCCU